AACGAACGCUGGCGGCAGGUUUAACACAUGCAAGUCGAGCGCCCCGCAAGGGGAGCGGCAGACGGGUGAGUAACGCGUGGGAAUCUACCGUGCCCUACGGAAUAACGCAUGGAAACGUGUGCUAAUACCGUAUACGCCCUACGGGGGAAAGAUUUAUCGGGGUAUGAUGAGCCCGCGUUGGAUUAGCUAGUUGGUGGGGUAAAGGCCUACCAAGGCGACGAUCCAUAGCUGGUCUGAGAGGAUGAUCAGCCACAUUGGGACUGAGACACGGCCCAAACUCCUACGGGAGGCAGCAGUGGGGAAUAUUGGACAAUGGGCGCAAGCCUGAUCCAGCCAUGCCGCGUGAGUGAUGAAGGUCUUAGGAUUGUAAAGCUCUUUCACCGGUGAAGAUAAUGACGGUAACCGGAGAAGAAGCCCCGGCUAACUUCGUGCCAGCCGCCGCCGUAA
rnacentral:rRNA from 1 species